ensembl:lncRNA
AUUUUAUUUCCCACAAAACUUUGUUUUUGUUAAACAACUCCCCAAAUGUUCAUUUUUUCUAUCUUAAGGCACAGUGAUACUUCACAAGUUUUUAAAUGGAUUUUGUACGAUUCAAACAUUUCACAUGUAUUAUCAAGCAUAUACCAUCCAAACCCUUGGAUUGUUUCAAAGUUACAGAAAGAGAAAUCACAAUAAUCUGGAGAAUGCCUUACUCAGAAAUUCAUACAUGAACAGUUCAACUGACAGGCCCCAGUCAGAAUCUAAUCUGCUUUUAAGCUUAUUACCUUAGGACUUUCAAUGCUGACUAUGGUUGAAUGUAACUAAUAGACUAGCAAUUAUCUACGACCUGUAAUUUCCAAAGAACUGUCUUAGAAACAGAAAGUAUGAGCCGUGGUCCCUAUACCCAAAAAGGAAUCACUCCUCAUCUUGUCAUAGUUUUAGAGGUCCCUAAGCAGAAUUAUUCCAUACCCCACCUCCAUUUUGACACUCAGUUAAUUAAACCAUCCAGGAAUGAGAGUUAUUUAAAUUUCAGGUGUUCUCAGAUCUGGCUCAGUUCUUUCCAUUUCCCUCAUGGCUGUAUUUAGAGCUGUACAUCAUUUCUAAUCCCCCCUGCUUUUUUUUUUCUUUUUAUUACUAAUAAUUACCAAAGUGUUUAUUAGUUGAGCAGUAGGCUCUUGGUAAUACUCUGUAUUAGCAUGUGCUUCGCACUCCAAAAAAUAUUAUCUUAAAUAUUUAACCUUUACAUCUAGCUCUUGAGAUUGGUAUUUCUGGUUAGUAGCUAUUUGCCCUCAAAAUCCCAUCCCUCCCUUUUUUCUGGGCACAUAGCCUCCCUGUUUGAGAUUACAUUUUGGAGCAUUCCAUGCUUUUACCCUCACAUCCAGUUGCUGAGAACUUAGUCACAUGACCAAUGGACUGUGAGGGGAAGAGCCAAACCUCUGCAUAUCAGACUUUCUUAAAGAAAAUUGUUCAUCCUGGACUUCCUCUUUCCCCCUCCAUUAGGCUGCCUGGAUUUACUGAGACCCAGCUUUGUCCUUGUGAACGUGGACCAUGUCUUAGGAAUGAUCCAGCACCACGAUGGAAGCUUCGCCCUUACCUCAGCAAAUGCAGAAUUACUGGCUUCAUUUUACCGAUCAAGGAGGUGAAAUUCAUGGAGGUAAGUCACUCAUGUCAGGAUUUUCCACUCUCCCUUCUUACUCAGCAGAGCGUAUUUCCACUGACAACAAUGAGUCCCUCUAGAAUGGGGACAGAAAAGAACCAACUGGGCCCAGGACCAGAUCCAAGUCGAAACUCUCUUUAAUCUCUCCAUUUCUGGAUCUCAAAUGAGCACCCUUCUGUUUAACAGUUCUCCUCAAGAGGUCUGUUUUCUCCGAACAGCCUGUCCUCAUUGUGAGAAGUUCCAAAAAGGGCUUGCAGGGUUGCAGGUUAUGUGGCGUCACCCCAGCUCAUCUCAACACCUCUGACAAAGGGCCGCAGAAGAAAGGAUUCUUUCCGCGUGAGUUCUCAUCAGUCUUUGCCUCUUAAGCAGUAUGGUAUUCCUUACAAAAGAAAUCCAUCAUCUUGUUCUACAAAUAAAUAUAAUUAUUACCAAAUUUGUGUUCUGCUG